GACGAACGCUGGCGGCGUGCCUAAUACAUGCAAGUAGAACGCUGAAGGAGGAGCUUGCUUCUCUGGAUGAGUUGCGAACGGGUGAGUAACGCGUAGGUAACCUGCCUGGUAGCGGGGGAUAACUAUUGGAAACGAUAGCUAAUACCGCAUAAGAGUAGAUGUUGCAUGACAUUUGCUUAAAAGGUGCAAUUGCAUCACUACCAGAUGGACCUGCGUUGUAUUAGCUAGUUGGUGGGGUAACGGCUCACCAAGGCGACGAUACAUAGCCGACCUGAGAGGGGGAUCGGCCACACUGGGACUGAGACACGGCCCAGACUCCUACGGGAGGCAGCAGUAGGGAAUCUUCGGCAAGGGACGGAAGUCUGACCGAGCAACGCCGCGUGAGUGAAGAAGGUUUUCGGAUCGUAAAGCUCUGUUGUAAGAGAAGAACGAGUGUGAGAGUGGAAAGUUCACACUGUGACGGUAUCUGACCAGAAAGGGACGGCUAACUACGUG
rnacentral:rRNA from 1 species